rnacentral:rRNA from 1 species
UACGAAGGGGGCUAGCGUUGCUCGGAAUCACUGGGCGUAAAGCGCACGUAGGCGGAUUGCUAAGUCAGGGGUGAAAUCCUGGAGCUCAACUCCAGAACUGCCUUUGAUACUGGCGGCCUUGAGUCCGGGAGAGGUGAGUGGAACUGCGAGUGUAGAGGUGAAAUUCGUAGAUAUUCGCAAGAACACCAGUGGCGAAGGCGGCUCACUGGCCCGGUACUGACGCUGAGGUGCGAAAGCGUGGGGAGCAAACAGG